GAUGAACGCUGGCGGCGUGCCUAAUACAUGCAAGUCGAGCGAAUGGAUUGAGAGCUUGCUCUUAUGAAGUUAGCGGCGGACGGGUGAGUAACACGUGGGUAACCUGCCCAUAAGACUGGGAUAACUCCGGGAAAUCGGGGCUAAUACCGGAUAACAUUUUGAACCGCAUGGUUCGAAAUUGAAAGGCGGCUUCGGCUGUCACUUAUGGAUGGACCCGCGUCGCAUUAGCUAGUUGGUGAGGUAACGGCUCACCAAGGCAACGAUGCGUAGCCGACCUGAGAGGGUGAUCGGCCACACUGGGACUGAGACACGGCCCAGACUCCUACGGGAGGCAGCAGUAGGGAAUCUUCCGCAAUGGACGAAAGUCUGACGGAGCAGCGCCGCGUGAGUGAUGAAGGCUUUCGGGUCGUAAAACUCUGUUGUUAGGGAAGAACAAGUGCUAGUUGAAUAAGCUGGCACCUUGACGGUACCUAACCAGAAAGCCACGGCUAACUACGUGCCAGCAGCCGCCGUAA
rnacentral:rRNA from 1 species